AGUGCCAGCAGCCGCGGUAAUACGGAAGGUGCAAGCGUUAAUCGGAAUUACUGGGCGUAAAGCGCGCGUAGGUGGUUUGUUAAGUUGGAUGUGAAAGCCCUGGGCUCAACCUAGGAACUGCAUCCAAAACUAACUCACUAGAGUACGAUAGAGGGAGGUAGAAUUCAUAGUGUAGCGGUGGAAUGCGUAGAUAUUAUGAAGAAUACCAGUGGCGAAGGCGGCCUCCUGGAUCUGUACUGACACUAAGGUGCGAAAGCGUGGGUAGCGAACAGGAUUAGAUACCCUGGUAGUCCACGCCGUAAACGAUGACAACUAGCUGUUGGGAGACAAUGUCUUUCAGUGGCGCAGCUAACGUUUUAAGUUGUCCGCCUGGGGAGUACGGCCGCAAGGCUAAAACUCAAAUGAAUUGACGGGGACCCGCACAAGCGGUGGAGCAUGUGGUUUAAUUCGAUGCAACGCGAAAAGCCUUACCUACUCUUGACAUACUUGGAAGCUCUUGUAAUGAGAGUGUGCCUUUUGGAGCCAAGAUACAGGUGCUGCAUGGCUGUCGUCAGCUCGUGUCGUGAGAUGUUCCGUUAAGUCGGAUAACGAGCGCAACCCUUACCCUUAUUGGCCAGCGAUUCGGUCGGGAACUAUAAGGGGACUGCCGGUGAUAAACCGGAGGAAGGGUGAGGACGACGUCAGUCAUCAUGAUCUUACGAGUAGGGCUACACACGUGCUACAUGGGGAUACGACGACGCUAGCCGCGAGUGUGCUAUCUAUAAGUUCUUCGUAGUCGAUGAGUCUGCACUCGACUCAUGAGUCGAUCGCUAGUAUCCCGAUCAGCAUGUCCGGUGAUACGUUCUCGGUCUGACACCCGCCCGGCCACCAUGGAUGGAUGCAUCAAACGUAAUAGCUCACCUUCGGGAGGCGUUAACAGGUGUGCUCUUGAUGGGUGAGUGUAAAGAAACGGGGGGGCUCGACAGGAAUCGAUAUACUAUGGGGGCGCGGAGAUACUAAGGCCCUGCCUAAAGAGGAUAUCACUGGCCUUUACUUCUGGACCUCCAAAACCGGAACCCUCUACUGU
rnacentral:rRNA from 1 species